rnacentral:tRNA from 1 species
GGAUUGUGACUCAGUGGUAGAGUGUUUACCUAGCACCUAUGAGGCACAGGGUUCGAUCCUCAGCACCA